rnacentral:rRNA from 1 species
AUGAGGGCGUUAUUCUGGAAUAUUAGGGGGUUCGGUGCUAGGGGGUGCCGUGACCAACUUAAAGAUCUGGUUCGUUCUAACUCUAUUGACUUUGUGGGGCUGGUAGAAACCUUCAAGGAAUCCUUCUCCCCUAAUGACUUUUCUGCUAUUGUGGGCAUGGACAGAUUUAAUUGGAACUUUUUACCUGCUUCGGGGCACUCUGGUGGGAUCUUGAUAGGCUCCAAUAAAGAUAUUUUUGAUUUUGUUACUUUUGAUCAUGGGAUCUUUUGGGCCAGUGUUGUUCUCUCUCAUAAAGCUCAGAAUACUCUUUGUGAGUUUAUCAUCGUCUAUGGGCCUGCGGACCAUUCCUUGUCGCCUUUAUUUCUUAAUGAACUUUCGUUGAAGAUCGAUGCUUGUAAUUUACCGAUGGUUAUUGGGGGAUACUUUAACCUUCUGCGGUGCCCUAAUGACAAAAGUAAUGAUAACUUCUCCUGGCCGCUGGCUAAUGCCUUUAACGACUUCAUUAGUGCCAAUGCUAUUCGUGAGCUGCCUCGGGGGGGGGGGGAGCUCGUUAUACCUGGUCCAAUCAUCAGUCAAUCCCUAUUAUAUUAG